ACGGAAGGCAGCAGUGGGGAAUAUUGCACAAUGGGGGAAACCCUGAUGCAGCAACGCCGCGUGAGUGAUGAAGGUCUUCGGAUUGUAAAGCUCUGUCUUUAGGGACGAUAAUGACGGUACCUAAGGAGGAAGCCACGGCUAACUACGUGCCAGCAGCCGCGGUAAUACGUAGGUGGCAAGCGUUAUCCGGAUUUACUGGGCGUAAAGGGGGCGUAGGCGGAUAUUUAAGUGGGAUGUGAAAUACCUGAGCUUAACUUGGGUGCUGCAUUCCAAACUGGGUAUCUAGAGUGCAGGAGAGGAGAAUGGAAUUCCUAGUGUAGCGGUGAAAUGCGUAGAGAUUAGGAAGAACACCAGUGGCGAAGGCGAUUCUCUGGACUGUAACUGACGCUGAGGCUCGAAAGCGUGGGGAGCAAACAGGAUUAGAUACCCUGGUA
rnacentral:rRNA from 1 species